UGGGGCGUUGGGGAAGAGGGUCUUGGGAAGAUGUGAAGAAUGACCUCGGUGGAGAAGAAUGACUUUGGUUGGGGUGCCUGGAGCUGUGAAAGAACGGCAACUGCCUGGCAACUGCCCCCACUGUUCCUGGCCUGAGGCUGGACAGCCUACACCGGAGUCCCACGGGAAGGCAAGCUCGACCAGGCGGGAUGAUGGCUCAUUCCCAUAAUCUAAGCGCCUGGGAGGGCUGAAGCAGGAGGAUUUCGAUGUGUUCAAGGCCAACCUGGACUACUGACACCCUAUCUCCAUAAAAUAGAAAGAAAGAAAGAAAGAAAGAAAGAAAGAAAGAAAGAAAG
rnacentral:lncRNA from 1 species